GCCUUGAGAGGGCGGUGUCGCCCGGGACUGGCCACCGGGCGUCUAGGGUGGCAGGGCCGCCGCCAGUUUCCAGAACAGUGAGGAGGUAGUGCGACUUUUCUGCAGUUCAGGGAGUGUCUGUUCUCACUCUAUUUUGCCGAUCGUGUCUGCCGCUGCACUGCUGGCCACAUCCUGGUUCUCUCCUCCUUUCCUGGCUGCAGUUCUUUUUUCAUCAGACAGUAUCAGAACUGUGCCCUCUGCUCUGGGCUUCUGCUGUUCCUGGACAUGCUUCCAGAUAGAGCAUGGCCAGCGAGCCUGGAGCGGCCAGUAAUGGGAGGCCUGCAAGGCACCCUUGCAAGACAGCCAGAACCAGCCUCAGGAGAAUGGAAGCAGAACUUUAUUCUUCUUGGCUAGGGAAGAGAACUAGCGGGUGGUCGUGCAUAGUACCCCCCCACCCCUCCCAGAACCAAAGAAGACAGGCGGAGCCACCAAAGGGCUACCUCUGCUCGCCUCUCUCCUUUGCCCAUGUGGAGGCAGGUGAGUGCAACGCAGGGCUGGGGUGGCUGCAGUGAUGGGGCGGCCAGGGCCGGCCGGGGCUCCAGGUCCAAGGAGACCGGGGGGGGGGGGCUGCUCAGGUUGGGGGGAUGGGCGUGGGAGCACUUCUCAUCCUGGUAGCUGCCAGCUGGCACAGGCACAGAGCUCAGGGUACCAGGACACGGUAGGGGCUGCCUGGGAUGUGCUCG